rnacentral:rRNA from 1 species
GUGGGGAAUAUUGGACAAUGGGCGCAAGCCUGAUCCAGCCAUGCCGCGUGAGUGAUGAAGGCCCUAGGGUUGUAAAGCUCUUUCAGUGGGGACGAUAAUGACGGUACCCACAGAAGAAGCCCCGGCUAACUUCGUGCCAGCAGCCGCGGUAAUACGAAGGGGGCUAGCGUUGUUCGGAUUUACUGGGCGUAAAGCGCACGUAGGCGGAUCGUUAAGUCGAGGGUGAAAUCCUGGAGCUCAACUCCAGAACUGCCUUCGAUACUGGCGAUCUUGAGUCCGGAAGAGGUGAGUGGAACUCCUAGUGUAGAGGUGGAAUUCGUAGAUAUUAGGAAGAACACCAGUGGCGAAGGCGGCUCACUGGUCCGGUACUGACGCUGAGGUACGAAAGCAUGGGGAGCAAACAGGAUUAGAAACCCUGGUAGUCC